rnacentral:rRNA from 1 species
UACAGAGGGUGCAAGCGUUGUUCGGAAUUAUUGGGCGUAAAGAGCGUGUAGGCGGCCAGGUAGGUCCGUUGUGAAAACUCGAGGCUCAACCUCGAGACGUCGGCGGAAACCCUCUGGCUAGAGUCCGGAAGAGGAGAGUGGAAUUCCUGGUGUAGCGGUGAAAUGCGCAGAUAUCAGGAAGAACACCCGUGGCGAAGGCGGCUCUCUGGGGACGGUACUGACGCUGAGACGCGAAAGCGUGGGGAGCAAACAGG